rnacentral:tRNA from 1 species
CGGGGCAUGGCGCAGUUUGGCUAGCGUGCUUGCAUGGGGUGCAAGAGGUCCCCGGUUCAAAUCCGGGUGCCCCGA